GCAGCGCCGCCGCUAGGGGGAGGAGUCUGGGCUGGUCUUUCAGCCCGCGGCUUUCCCAAAAUUCUGAGAGUCCAUAGGGUUCCACGUGAAGAGCUAGAGCGAGCCGACGGUGUUGGGAGACUUUCGCUAAGCUCAGGGUGACAGGAGAGGGGACGUGGGGCUGUCAGCAAACCAAGGAUGGCACUUUAAAGAAUGAUGACAGACCUCUAAAGACUGAAUGCAUCUUUGGUUGACAAGAUCACGCUUGGGUGGAUCUUCAUGACCUUUGGUUACCCACUACCUAGUACUAUGCCUGGUAUGUACUGGAUAUCCACUCCACGUUAUUGAAUUGAACUGCUACCUUUCAAACAUGGUGUAACUAAUGGGAGAAAACAAUAGUAGCAGCCUCAGAAGAUUUUCUUUUUAUUGUAAUAUACUUUGGUUCUUUUUCUUCCCACUCCCACGUGCUUAUAUUUCCUGUGAGAAAUAAAAUUUGACCAAAAGCUGUUCCAUUUUAUUUUUACAGACUUAAAACUGAAAAUAUCACUUCAACUGUAUUCUGGUGCUUAGAGUGAGAUUUUGUAAUACUAUCCAAGAUCAUGUUAACAUUUUGACAUUGUCACAUUAUUGAUUGGUUUGUAAAUUCUAUGGUGUUAUCUUGAUGCCAUCAGUAAGUUCACAUAUGUAAAUCAUUAAUAAUAUGUAUCAUUGUCUUUAAAAGUGAUGACGUUGCCAGUCUGAAGUGAAAUUACAAACACAUUUUAUGUUGUCAAAAAAUCUUUUGAGACUAUGUAUUAUGAGAUAUAGAUAAAAUAUAUGAAAGCAGAUGACUAUCUGUACUGUCCAGCGUUUCAUGUGAAAGGUGAGAAUGAUAUGUCUCUCCUAUCAUCCAGCAUUUUUGGCAUUUAAUAUUUAAUGUAACAUUUAACAUAACAUUUAAUAUAAAAAUAAUCCUUUACUCACGAACAUUGUAAUAUCAUUUGCACGCCUUAACUGUACUUAAUUUGAAUGCAUAGAUUUAAAUAUGUAAUGCUUGUUUUAUUUUCAAGUUAGUAUUGUAUAUAAUUUCAUAAAUAUACUGAAAAUGAUGGUUAAAGAAAAUGAGAAAUUGUACAGAAGUAGCAUUUUUUGCUUGUAAUAGUCACUGGGUGGCGCUGUUGUUUAAUAUUAAUCUUACGAUUUUGUGUCAUUUUCUUUUUAUAAGUAAACAAAAUUAAAGUGCUAAACAUUGAACACAA